rnacentral:lncRNA from 1 species
AAAAUGUUCUAUUGCACCCAUCACCCUGUUCUGAAGGCCUGGUAAUCAGUGUUAUCCACAAUAUAUUCAAAGGAACGCUCUGGAAGAAAGGGCAUGUGACACAGGGCUGAGGAGUCGGCGAGUCCCUAUCUGCAUGGAGUUAUCAUGGCUUUCACAGGUCAUCCCUGAGAGCUCACCAGAAUAUUUUGAAUUUCUAGUUUUGUCUCACACUAUAGGACACACACCACAUGUUUUCAAAAUAACUUUGAGUUCAAAAGAGUUCCCUAAGAUAACACUGUAUAACCCCAGCACAGAAUUAAUGGUUUUGAAGACUGUUUUCUGUGAAGGUAGCAGAGGCUGACUUCAGUAAUCCUGGCCCUCCGGAGUGCUCACAACAGUAUCAUGAGGCAAGAAUGCCUGGAGAGGGAGACGUCACAGAUCUAAGAAUGGCAGCGGAGGGCGCCAUGUUUGGUCUCCUUGGGAGAAUUGGUCUGAAUCCCCUGAUCUCACCACCACUUAUUGUGAAA